rnacentral:rRNA from 1 species
UAAGAGGUCCCGCCUGCCCUGUGACUCUAAGUUUAACGGCCGCGGUAUUUUGACCGUGCAAAGGUAGCGCAAUCACUUGUCUUUUAAAUGAAGACCUGUAUGAAUGGCACAACGAGGGCUUAACUGUCUCCUUUUUUCAGUCAAUGAAAUUGAUCUCCCCGUGCAGAAGCGGGGAUAAUAACAUAAGACGAGAAGACCCUAUGGAGCUUUAGACACAAGACAGCCCAUGUUAAAUAUCCUUUAAUAAUAGGACUAAACAUUUUGAACCCUGUAUUAACGUCUUUGGUUGGGGCGACCGCGGGGAACACAAAACCCCCAUGUGGACCAGGAAUACUUUUUCUUACAACUGAGAGCUACAACUCUAAUUAACAGAACUUCUGACCAACUUUGAUCCGGCAAUGCCGAUCAACGGACCGAGUUACCCUAGGGAUAACAGCGCAAUCCCCUCUAAGAGCCCAUAUCGACGAGGGGGUUUACGACCUCGAUGUUGGAUCAGGACAUCCUAAUGGUGCAGCCACUAUUAAGGGUUCGU